rnacentral:rRNA from 1 species
CCUACGGGGGGCAGCAGUGAGGAAUAUUGGUCAAUGGGCGAGAGCCUGAACCAGCCAAGUCGCGUGAAGGAUGACGGCCCUACGGGUUGUAAACUUCUUUUGUCAGGGAGCAAUUGAGUCCACGUGUGGGCUUAGCGAGAGUUCCUGAAGAAAAAGCAUCGGCUAACUCCGUGCCAGCAGCCGCGGUAAUCCGGAGGAUGCGAGCGUUAUCCGGAUUUAUUGGGUUUAACGGGUGCGUAGGCGGAAUAUCAAGUCAGCUGUGAAAGUCCGCGGCUCAACCGUGGAAUUGCAGUUGAAACUGGAGGCCUUGAGUGCACACAGGGAUGCCGGAAUUCAUGGUGUAGCGGUGAAAUGCUUAGAUAUCAUGAAGAACUCCGAGCGCGAAGGCAAGUGUCCGGGGUGCAACUGACGCUGAGGCUCGAAAGUGCGGGUAUCAAACAGGAGUAGAUACCCUUGUAGUC